UGCGAGUCAUUGUAGCAAUACAAGGCAGACGGCUCAGUAACGCGUAGUCAAUCUACCCUAUGGACGGGAAUAACCUCGGGAAACUGAGAAUAAUGCCCGACAGAACAUUAUACCUGGAACGGUUUAUGUUUCAAAUGAUUUAUCGCCGUAGGAUGGGACUGCGGCCUAUCAGUUUGUUGGUGAGGUAAUGGCCCACCAAGACUAUUACAGGUACGGGCUCUGAGAGGAGUAGCCCGGAGAUGGGUACUGAGACACGGAUCCAGGCCCUAUGGGGCGCAGCAGGCGAGAAAACUUUGCAAUGUGCGAAAGCACGACAAGGUUAAUCCGAGUGGUUUCUGCUAAAGAAACCUUUUGCUAGUCCUAGAAACACUAGUGAAUAAGGGGUGGGCAAGUUCUGGUGUCAGCCGCCGCGGUAAAACCAGCACCUCAAGUGGUCAGGAUGAUUAUUAGGCCUAAAGCAUCCGUAGCUCGUUUUGUAAGUUUUCGGUUAAAUCCAUACGCUUAACGUAUGGGCUGCCGGGAAUACUGCAUAACUAGGAAGUGGGAGAGGUAGACGGUACUCGGUAGGAAGGGGUAAAAUCCUUUGAUCUAUUGAUGACCACCUGUGGCGAAGGCGGUCUACCAGAACACGUUCGACGGUGAGGGAUGAAAGCUGGGGGAGCAAACCGGAUUAGAUACCCGGGUAGUCCCAGCUGUAAACUAUGCAAACUCAGUGAUGCAUUGGCUUGUGGCCAAUGCAGUGCUGCAGGGAAGCCGUUAAGUUUGCCGCCUGGGAAGUACGUACGCAAGUAUGAAACUUAAAGGAAUUGGCGGGGAGCACCACAAGGGGUGAAGCCUGCGGU
rnacentral:rRNA from 1 species